rnacentral:piRNA from 1 species
UGAAACACCAACUUCCAAGAAUGGACAGG